UAAAAUCACACUGCAACGCCUCAAGAUAGUCGGUUUGACCAGAAAACAGGGCUUUCGGCUACUACCCACUAGAUCAAUCACUAGAGAAGGCAACGAGAAACUGGUCUAGGAAGUUUCCACACAACACUCGGCUAGCCCAGAAUUCGA